UACGUAGGGGGCAAGCGUUAUCCGGAUUUACUGGGUGUAAAGGGGGCGCAGACGGCAGCGCAAGCCAGGAGUGAAAGCCCGGGGCCCAACCCCGGGACUGCUCUUGGAACUGCGCGGCUGGAGUGCAGGAGGGGCAGGCGGAAUUCCUGGUGUAGCGGUGAAAUGCGUAGAUAUCAGGAGGAACACAGGUGGCGAAGGCGGCCUGCUGGACUGCGACUGACGUUGAGGCCCGAAAGCGUGGGGAGCAAACAGG
rnacentral:rRNA from 1 species